rnacentral:rRNA from 1 species
UACGAAGGGGGCUAGCGUUGUUCGGAUUUACUGGGCGUAAAGGGCGCGUAGGCGGCAUGACAAGUCACUUGUGAAAUCUCCGGGCUUAACUCGGAACGGCCAAGUGAAACUGUCAAGCUAGAGUGCAGAAGGGGCAAUCGGAAUUCUUGGUGUAGCGGUGAAAUGCGUAGAUAUCAAGAGGAACACCUGAGGUGAAGACGGGUUGCUGGGCUGACACUGACGCUGAGGCGCGAAAGCCAGGGGAGCAAACGGG